rnacentral:rRNA from 1 species
GUGGGGAAUCUUGCGCAAUGGGCGAAAGCCUGACGCAGCCAUGCCGCGUGAAUGAUGAAGGUCUUAGGAUUGUAAAAUUCUUUCACCGGGGACGAUAAUGACGGUACCCGGAGAAGAAGCUCCGGCUAACUUCGUGUCAGCAGCCGCGGUAAUACGAAGGGGGCUAGCGUUGCUCGGAAUUACUGGGCGUAAAGGGCGCGUAGGCGGACAGCUUAGUCAGAGGUGAAAGCCCAGGGCUCAACCUUGGAAUUGCCUUUGAUACUGGCUGUCUUGAGUUUGGGAGAGGUGAGUGGAACUCCGAGUGUAGAGGUGAAAUUCGUAGAUAUUCGGAAGAACACCAGUGGCGAAGGCGGCUCACUGGCUCGAUACUGACGCUGAGGUGCGAAAGCGUGGGGAGCAAACAGGAUUAGAAACCCCAGUAGUCC